rnacentral:rRNA from 1 species
AGGGUUUGAUCCUGGCUCAGGACGAACGCUGGCGGCGUGCCUAAUACAUGCAAGUCGAACGAACUCUGGUAUUGAUUGGUGCUUGCAUCAUGAUUUACAUUUGAGUGAGUGGCGAACUGGUGAGUAACACGUGGGAAACCUGCCCAGAAGCGGGGGAUAACACCUGGAAACAGAUGCUAAUACCGCAUAACAACUUGGACCGCAUGGUCCGAGCUUGAAAGAUGGCUUCGGCUAUCACUUUUGGAUGGUCCCGCGGCGUAUUAGCUAGAUGGUGGGGUAACGGCUCACCAUGGCAAUGAUACGUAGCCGACCUGAGAGGGUAAUCGGCCACAUUGGGACUGAGACACGGCCCAAACUCCUACGGGAGGCAGCAGUAGGGAAUCUUCCACAAUGGACGAAAGUCUGAUGGAGCAACGCCGCGCGAGUGAAGAAGGGUUUCGGCUCGUAAAACUCUGUUGUUAAAGAAGAACAUAUCUGAGAGUAACUGUUCAGGUAUUGACGGUAUUUAACCAGAAAGCCACGGCUAACUACGUGCCAGCAGCCGCGGUAAUACGUAGGUGGCAGGCGUUGUCCGGAUUUAUUGGGCGUAAAGCGAGCGCAGGCGGUUUUUUAAGUCUGAUGUGAAAGCCUUCGGCUCAACCGAAGAAGUGCAUCGGAAACUGGGAAACUUGAGUGCAGAAGAGGACAGUGGAACUCCAUGUGUAGCGGUGAAAUGCGUAGAUAUAUGGAAGAACACCAGUGGCGAAGGCGGCUGUCUGGUCUGUAACUGACGCUGAGGCUCGAAAGUAUGGGUAGCAAACAGGAUUAGAUACCCUGGUAGUCCAUACCGUAAACGAUGAAUGCUAAGUGUUGGAGGGUUUCCGCCCUUCAGUGCUGCAGCUAACGCAUUAAGCAUUCCGCCUGGGGAGUACGGCCGCAAGGCUGAAACUCAAAGGAAUUGACGGGGGCCCGCACAAGCGGUGGAGCAUGUGGUUUAAUUCGAAGCUACGCGAAGAACCUUACCAGGUCUUGACAUACUAUGCAAAUCUAAGAGAUUAGACGUUCCCUUCGGGGACAUGGAUACAGGUGGUGCAUGGUUGUCGUCAGCUCGUGUCGUGAGAUGUUGGGUUAAGUCCCGCAACGAGCGCAACCCUUAUUAUCAGUUGCCAGCAUUAAGUUGGGCACUCUGGUGAGACUGCCGGUGACAAACCGGAGGAAGGUGGGGAUGACGUCAAAUCAUCAUGCCCCUUAUGACCUGGGCUACACACGUGCUACAAUGGAUGGUACAACGAGUUGCGAACUCGCGAGAGUAAGCUAAUCUCUUAAAGCCAUUCUCAGUUCGGAUUGUAGGCUGCAACUCGCCUACAUGAAGUCGGAAUCGCUAGUAAUCGCGGAUCAGCAUGCCGCGGUGAAUACGUUCCCGGGCCUUGUACACACCGCCCGUCACACCAUGAGAGUUUGUAACACCCAAAGUCGGUGGGGUAACCUUUUAGGAACCAGCCGCCUAAGGUGGGACAGAUGAUUAGGGUG